AAAUAUAGGGAAAAGCUAGGAUCAUUGUUGGAGAUGCUCUAAGCCCUGCCCUGCGCUGAAUUCCCCUACCCUUGCAAAAAUUGUAUUAAAAGACACAAGCAAUAGAUUAUGGCGGCGCCAGGGAGAGAAGAAACUUGGGCGGAGGUAGCGAACCGUCUAGGUUUGGAUUCGGUGACGGACGAGGAUUUGAAGGCGAAGAAAAAAGUGGAAAGAGCUACGAGAGGAGGGUGUACGAAGCGUGCGAGCCAACUCGCACCUGGUCGUCAAAUUUGUUUGCCCGCACUGCCCAGGGUUCGGAGGUCACGCGUCGUACGGCGCGCUGCUCGACCACGCGAGGGAGUAUUCCUCUGGCGCGGGGCGGGCUGCAGUGAAGGGCAGCCACAGGGAUCUGGUUACUUACCUCACCACUGCCCUCAGGAGGCUGGCUCCUGAUCAGUAGCUCUCAGUUUAGGAUUUGUAGGCCUAAGACAUUUUUAGCCUCGUUUGCGUGUUUAGUACGUGUACGUUUAGUAUGUUUUUUUUCCCCUCCCUUUUUCCCCCUUUGUAUCUUUGAUUGUAUCUAGUAAUGAAAUCUGUGUUUCGUGUUUCACUAA